CGAGCGCCUGUAAGAAAACUCCAGAACAAGUCUCAUGACCCAUUUCCUCGAAAUACACGAUCGUUCUUGGAAUGUUUUACGCCACUCCCAGGUGUAAGCAGAUAAGUCACCUCUCCCUACACCAGUCAGUCUCCUCUUCCUGGUGUUAAAGAAGACAAUCUUCACCGCAGUUUUGUGUGUGCCUGAAGAAGUCAGAAGGUGCUGGAUACCUGGCACUCAGGGUCAAGAGUUCCAGAUGGUUUUUAGCCACCAAGUCCUCUAUGUGUGAGGGUGUCAGGUCCCCUGGAACUGGGGUUACAGACAGUUGUGAGCUGCCAUGUGAGUGCUGGGAUCCUCUGGAAGAAUAGCCAGUGCUCUUAACUGCUAAGCCAUCUCUCUAGCCUCCUGAAAUCUGACUUCUAUUCAAAGAGAACGGAAAGGUUCUCUUCCCUGAAAGAUAAGCCACAUUGAAUAUCAGAGAAAAUCUGAAUCAUCACCAAGAGUUUCUGCAGUGACCACAGGUCUUCCAAAUACUGACAUCAUAAUAAGUGACUCUGAAUUCUGUGCAGAUAAACGUAGGGACUUCUGACAGUGUCGUAUGACGAGUCUGUUUCCAGUAUGGGCUUGAGGGAGUAGCUGUAUCAGAAGUCCAUUUAGAGGGGCUACAGGGCUGCUCAGCUGGUAAAAGGUUUGCUGUACAAGCACAAAAAGGAUUGCCCACCUUUAGCUACGACAUCCUAUCUGACGGACUCCAUCUGAUCUGUUUACUCCAGUGUCCCCAGCAUCUGGUUAUGCCUGGCACAUGGCAGUAGUUCAAUAGUUUUUCUGAACAAAUGGAUGGUGAAAUGAAGACUAAUGGAUAAAAAUCCAAAGGCCCUGCAGAUUGCUACACGUUAUAACUUACUUUAUCCAAAAAGACAUUUGGGAAAAUCCUUGAGUAAUAGACUAAAAAUAAAUAUAUUCUGAUCUGGAUGCUGGGAAGUUCAGAGAUCAAAGAGUUGCCAGCAAUCAUGGUCUUCAUGUUGCGUCUUACCACGGCUGAAUGUGGGUUGAGCAAGAGCUCAACCGCCUGACUGCAAACAACUCCAGCUAAGCCCCGCCUAAUACUGUUGCACUGGCUGGAUGCUCCCAGCCUAAUACUGUUGCACUGGCUGGAUGCUCCCAGCAUGGACUUUGGGGGAAGACACACUUGAAGCCAUACAGAUUCUUAACCUCUAAUGACUUUCCAUCAAUUCCACGGGCUGUAUUAGGGUUCUCUACGGAACAGAAAAAGGAAUGAAUGUGUACGUUAUAAGGAAGUUUAUUAGAUUGGCUUACAUUAUAGAGUCUGGGCAUCCCAACACUAGCUGUCUCGAAUUAAGAGACCAAAACCCUGGUUGUUUAGCCCAUGAGGCAGGAUGUCUCAGCAGUCUGACCUGGUCAUUGGAGGAUUCCUGGAGAGCUCUGGUCUAAUACUGCGCAACACAAUGAACUUGCCAGAAGUGAAGGCAAGAAGAAAAAGUUUCCUUCUUCCACAUCCUGCCUUUGAUAUGGGUUGCUG
rnacentral:lncRNA from 1 species